GUAAGGGUGCGUAACACGUGGGCAAUCUGCCGAAGAGUGGGGGAUAGCUCGCCGAAAGGCGAAUUAAUACCGCAUGUGGCUUGUGAAGUCAUCUUCACUGGGCCAAAGCCGGGGCAACCUGGCGCUCUUUGAUGAGCCCGCGGCCUAUCAGCUAGUUGGUGAGGUAACGGCUCACCAAGGCUAUGACGGGUAGCUGGUCUGAGAGGACGACCAGCCACACUGGAACUGAGACACGGUCCAGACACCUACGGGUGGCAGCAGUCGAGAAUUUUUCACAAUGGGGGAAACCCUGAUGGAGCGACGCCGCGUGGGGGAUGACUGGCUUCGGCCCGUAAACCCCUGUCAUUUGCGAACAAAUUGAUUCACCUAACACGUGAAGCAUUGAUAGUAGCGGAAGAGGAAGGGACGGCUAACUCUGUGCCAGCAGCCGCGGUAAUACAGAGGUCCCAAGCGUUGUUCGGAUUCACUGGGCGUAAAGGGUGCGUAGGUGGCCGGGUAAGUCUGAUGUGAAAUCUCGCAGCUUAACUGCGAAACUGCAUUGGAUACUAUCCGGCUGGAGGGUCGGAGGGGGGACUGGAAUUCCUCGGUGUAGCAGUGAAAUGCGUAGAUAUCGAGAGGAACACCAGUGGC
rnacentral:rRNA from 1 species